GCAAAAGGUCUUCCUGGAUCAAACGGAGACAAGGGUGACCGUGGUGCAAGUGGACGUAAUGGAUUACCUGGUGCAAAAGGUCCUCCUGGAUCAAACGGAGAACAGGGUGAACGUGGUGUACAAGGAGCAAGAGGCUCUCGAGGUUGGUCUGGAAGUGAUGGAGACGAUGGUGAACGAGGUGACACUGGCCCUAAAGGAGCUAGAGGUUGGACAGGUAGAUCUGGAGAAAAAGGAGACGAGGGUGAUCGUGGUCCUGUAGGAGCUCCUGGUGAAGAAGGUAGUCGAGGUGCAAAUGGUGUACGUGGAAUAAAAGG